rnacentral:pre_miRNA from 1 species
UUACUACUCCCUCCGUCCGGAAAUACUUGUCCUAGAAAUGUACAAAAUGAAUGUAUCUAUAACUAAAAUAAGUCUAGAUACAUCUAUUUCUAUGACAAGUAUUUUCGGACGAAGGGAGUAUUCA